AACCUAUGAAGAGUACGCGAGGGACAAGCCCUGUGACCGUACGGCAACCUGCCAAUGGUAAGGUGCCAAAGCUUGAUCGAUGGGAUAUAGGAAAUACUACGGACCCAUCGGACGAUGGGUC
rnacentral:ncRNA from 1 species